UACACUCUCUCAAUGGUGUGUGGCACUGGGUUUCAAUUCCAGGAGAUGGAUAUGCCUAUCAUCCGCCGAUGGUGGUGCCUUCUACUCAUGGAACGAUUUCAAAUUGAUGGCUAUGGCCGCAGAUUUGCUUUCUGGACUGAGGAAGCAAGAAGUGUAUUGGAGGGAAAGACUCUGCCCCUUUUUAGGGUGGAAAGAAGAACCAGGAGAGAACCUGUCUUGGCAGGAGGCUGAAGAGAUGUUCCUCCAGGGCCCCACUUAUCACUCAAGUGAAGUUGAGGAAUUUGACCGAAGAAUUGCUCGAGAAAUGAAAAAUCACCCCAUUUGAAUUUUUUCUCUUCAUUGUUUACAGCUCGAUGACUUGUCGGACCACAUGAAAAAGAAUACAAAAAUAAAGUUUGGUGUGAGAAAAUGACUCCGAGCACUAUCAUUUAUUGUAUGUAAAUAUAGAGUUAAUGUUCAUCCCCUAACUCUAUACUGAAGAAUGUGAUAAAUCCUUAAGAAUUAGGAAAACAAUAAAUGACUAUGAAAAUAUUUAAGUAACUGAACAAUUUCUAUUUACAAACAAAAUUAAUAAAAAUAAACCAGACUUAAUGCAUUAAAUCAUAACCUAGUAUGUGUAAUAUUUUAUAAAAUAAUGCAUUCAGUCAUAGCGUAAUAUUUUCUACUAGAAAAAAAUAGUGUAAGUUGCAAUCUAUCAGCAAUUGAAUUCUGGUAAGGUAAUAUCUAAUCAGGUUAAAUAACCUUCCAAACAGCAGGUGGCACUGUCUGAAAAAACGAUAGUUCUGGGAGUGCUGUUUUGAGCGUGCAGGUCUGAGUGUGCAGUUGGGCCUCCGGGCCUGCAGCUUUAUAAUGUUGUUUGAAGCCGUUGCUGUGUCGUCAGUCUCCCCUCAUCCCCUCCACUCCGCAGCUUAACCACGCCCACUUCUGUAGCAUUUUUCAAUACUGUGGUGAGAAUAGAGUGCCCCAGGGAUGAC